UGGUUACAAUAGCAGAGAGGAUACACCUGUUCCCAUUUCGAACACAGAAGUUAAGCUCCCUAGCGCUGAUGGUACUNUAAGUUCCGACCCGCACGAAAGGCGUAACGAUUUGGGCACUGUCUCAACAACAGACUCGGUGAAAUUGUAAUUCCGGUGAA
rnacentral:rRNA from 1 species